UGAGUACGAGAUGCUACGGCAUCGAAGCAGUCUAUGUCAUACUUCCAAGAAAAGCUUGCAAUGUCAUAAACAAAUAAUGCCUGUACCAUAACCGACACAGGUGGGUAGGUAGAGUAUACUAAGGGGCGCGAGAUAACUCUCUCUAAGGAACUCGGCAAAAUGACUCCGUAACUUCGGGAGAAGGAGUGCCUUAUUUUUAUAAGGUUGCAAUAACAAGAUCCAAGCAACUGUUUACCAAAAACACAGGUCUCCGCUAAGUCGUAAGACGAUGUAUGGGGGCUGACGCCUGCCCAGUGCCAGAAGGUUAAAGAAGUUGGUUAGCAUUAGCGAAGCUGAUAACUGAAGCCCUGGUGAACGGCGGCCGUAACUAUAACGGUCCUAAGGUAGCGAAAUUCCUUGUCGGGUAAGUUCCGACCCGCACGAAGGGCGUAAUGAUUUGGAUACUGUCUCGGAGAGGGGCUCGGUGAAAUAGACUUGUCUGUGAAGAUGCGGACUACCUGCACCUGGACAGAAAGACCCUAUGAAGCUUUACUGUAACUUGAGAUUGAAAUUGGACUUUAUCUGCGCAGUAUAGGUGGGAGACGUUGAAAAUAUUCUUGCGGGAAUAUUGGAGUCAUCAGUGAGAUACCACUCUUAUAAUGUUAGAUUUCUAACUUUGUAUCAUUAUCUGGUCAAAGAACAGUUUCAGGCGGGCAGUUUGACUGGGGCGGUCGCCUCCCAAACGGUAACGGAGGCGCACAAAGGUUUCCUCUGAACGUGUAGAAAUCGUAUCUAGAGUGUAAAGGCAUAAGGAAGCUUGACUGUGAGACCUACAAGUCGAGCAGGGACGAAAGUCGGUCUUAGUGAUCUGACGGUGCUGAGUGGAAAGGCCGUCACUCAACGGAUAAAAGUUACUCUAAGGAUAACAGGCUGAUCUCCCCCAAGAGUUCACAUCGACGGGGAGGUUUGGCACCUCGAUGUCGGCUCAUCGCAUCCUGGGGCGGUAGUACGUCCCAAGGGUUGGGCUGUUCGCCCAUGAAAGCGGUACGCGAGCUGGGUUCAGAACGUCGUGAGACAGUUCGGUCCAUAUCCGGUGUAGGCGUUAGAAUAUUGAGAGGAGCCUUCUUUAGUACGAGAGGACCGAGAAGGACAUACCUCUGGUGUACCAGUUAUCGUGCCAACGGUAAACGCUGGGUAGCCAUGUAUGGAGAGGAUAACCGCUGAAAGCAUCUAAGUGGGAAGCCCACCUCAAGAUAAGUAUUCUC
rnacentral:rRNA from 1 species